AUCCAGAUGAUGAGUCCCAAAAAGGACGAAGUGCGCAUACUGGAU
rfam:Trichobilharzia regenti genome assembly, scaffold: TRE_contig0015590